GACGAACGCUGGCGGCGUGCUUAACACAUGCAAGUCGAACGGAAAGGCCCUGCUUUUGUGGGGUGCUCGUGUGGCGAACGGGUGAGUAACACAUGAGUAACCUGCCCUUGACUUUGGGAUAACUUCAGGAAACUGGGGCUCAUACCGGAUAGGAGCUCCUGCUGCAUGGUGGGGGUUGGAAAGUUUCGGCGGUGGGGGAUGGACUCGCGGCUUAUCAGCUUGUUGGUGGGGUAGUGGCUUACCAAGGCUUUGACGGGUAGCCGGCCUGAGAGCGUGACCGGCCACAUGGGGACUGAGAUACGGCCCAGACUCCUACGGGCGGCAGCAGGGGGGAAUAUUGCACAAUGGGCGGAAGCCUGAUGCAGCAACGCCGCGUGCGUGAUGACGGCCUUCGGGUUGUAAACCGCUUUCGCCUGUGACGAAGCGGGAGUGACGGUAAUGGGUAAAGAAGCACCGGCUAACUACGUG
rnacentral:rRNA from 1 species